rnacentral:rRNA from 1 species
UAAGACAUGCAAGUUGAACGGACUUAAUCGAAAUAUUUAUAUUUUGAAGCGGUUAGUGGCGGACUGGUGAGUAACGCGUAAGGAACCUGCCUAUUAGAGGGGAAUAACAGUGAGAAAUCAUUGCUAAUACCGCAUAUGCCAUAGAUAUCACAUGAUAACAGUGGGAAAGGAGCAAUCCGCUAAUAGAUGGCCUUGCGUCUGAUUAGAUAGUUGGUGGGGUAACGGCCUACCAAGUCGACGAUCAGUAGCCGGACUGAGAGGUUGAACGGCCACAUUGGGACUGAGAUACGGCCCAGACUCCUACGGGAGGCAGCAGUCGGGAAUAUUGCGCAAUGGAGGAAACUCUGACGCAGUGACGCCGCGUAUAGGAAGAAGGUUUUCGGAUUGUAAACUAUUGUCGUUAGGGAAGAGAAAGGACAGUACCUAAGGAGGAAGCUCCGGCUAACUACGUGCCAGCAGCCGCGGUAAUACGUAGGGAGCGAGCGUUAUCCGGAAUUAUUGGGUGUAAAGGGUGCGUAGACGGGAGAACAAGUUAGUUGUGAAAUACCUCGGCUCAACUGAGGAACUGCAACUAAAACUGUACUUCUUGAGUGCAGGAGAGGUAAGUGGAAUUCCUAGUGUAGCGGUGAAAUGCGUAGAUAUUAGGAGGAACACCAGUGGCGAAGGCGACUUACUGGACUGUAACUGACGUUGAGGCACGAAAGUGUGGGGAGCAAACAGGAUUAGAUACCCUGGUAGUCCACACCGUAAACGAUGGAUACUAGGUGUAGGAGGUAUUAAGCCUUCUGUGCCGUCGCAAACGCAGUAAGUAUCCCACCUGGGGAGUACGGCCGCAAGGUUGAAACUCAAAGGAAUUGACGGGGGCCCGCACAAGCAGUGGAGUAUGUGGUUUAAUUCGAAGCAACGCGAAGAACCUUACCAGGGCUUGACAUAUAAAGUAAUAUUUAAGAGAUUAAAUAGCUCUUCGGAGACUUUAUACAGGUGGUGCAUGGUUGUCGUCAGCUCGUGUCGUGAGAUGUUGGGUUAAGUCCCGCAACGAGCGCAACCCCUGUACUUAGUUGCCAGCAUGUAGAGAUGGGAACUCUAAGUAGACUGCCGCGAAUAACGCGGAGGAAGGUGGGGAUGACGUCAAAUCAUCAUGCCCCUUAUGAUUUGGGCUACACACGUGCUACAAUGGCGUAAACAAAGGGAAGCGAGAGGGUGACCUGGAGCAAAUCCCAAAAAUAACGUCCCAGUUCGGACUGUAGUCUGCAACCCGACUACACGAAGCUGGAAUCGCUAGUAAUCGCAGAUCAGAAUGCUGCGGUGAAUACGUUCCCGGGUCUUGUACACACCGCCCGUCACACCAUGGGAGUCAGCAACGCCCGAAGUCAGUGACCUAACCGAAAGGGAGGAGCUGCCGAAGGCGGGGCAGGUAACUGGGGUGAAGUC